rnacentral:rRNA from 1 species
AACGAACGCUGGCGGCAUGCCUAACACAUGCAAGUCGAACGAGACCUUCGGGUCUAGUGGCGCACGGGUGCGUAACGCGUGGGAACCUGCCCUUAGGUUCGGAAUAACUCCCCGAAAGGGGUGCUAAUACCGGAUAAUGUCUUCGGACCAAAGAUUUAUCGCCUUUGGAUGGGCCUGCGUUGGAUUAGCUAGUUGGUAGGGUAAAAGCCUACCAAGGGGACGAUCCGUAGCUGGCCUGAGAGGAUGAGCAGCCACACUGGGACGGAGACAGGGUGCAGAGUCCGACGGGAGGCAGCAGUGGGGAAUAUUGGACAAUGGGCGAAAGCCUGAUCCAGGCGUGCCGCGUGUGUGAAGAAGGUCUUAGGAGUGUAAAGCACUUUAAGUUGGGAGGAAGGGCAGUAAGUUAAUACCUUGCUGUUUUGACGUUACCAACAGAAUAAGCACCGGCUAACUUCGUG